AUUCUCUUAGUAUUACUAGUACAAUUGACUUCCAAUCAAUUAGCCUCGGUAUAGCCCGAGAGAGAGUA
rnacentral:tRNA from 1 species